rnacentral:rRNA from 1 species
UCGUAGAUCAGAAUGCUACGGUGAAUACGUUCCCGGGCCUUGUACACACCGCCCGUCACACCAUGGGAGUGGGUUGCAAAAGAAGUAGGUAGCUUAACCUUCGGGAGGGCGCUUACCACUUUGUGAUUCAUGACUGGGGUGAAGUCGUAACAAGGUAACCGUAGGGGAACCUGCGGUUGGAUCACCUCCUUACCU